rnacentral:ncRNA from 1 species
CGCAGAUUCAGACAUUUGGUUCAUGUGCUUGGCUGAUAAGCCAAUGGUGCGAAGCUACCAUCUGAGGGAUUAUGACUGAACGCCUCUAAGUCAGAAUCCCGCCUGGAAAGCGACGAUGCAUUCGUGCCUCGGCCUCGAGAGGCGUAGCUAGACGGCCGUGUGGCCGUGGAAAGAGCCCGAUUCCGACCCGAGAGGCCGCGGCAAGAGGCGGCCUCGAAGUCGGUGGAUCCUCCUGCUCGAAAGGCGGGGUGCUAAACCAUUCGCAGACGACCUAGUUGAAGAUCGGGGUGUCGUGAUCACUAGAGCAGUACAUCUCACUGCGAUUUGUUGAGAGUAAGCCUCAAGAUCUGUCGGUUUGU